AUCCAGCAGACUGGAGGGGGAGUUGAUAGGUCAGUGGGGGAGGCAUCUACACUGAAGCAUUCUGGAUUUCAUUUGGCAUGGUGCCUGUGACUGAUUACAAAAUCUGCUGCUGAAGCAACUUCUAGAGGUGGUGGAAGACCUAUGGUUGUGGAUCCUUUGCAAAUAUAAAUGUUAUUGUGUGUGUCUGUUUGACCAUGGUAGGAUAUUUAAUGUAUCAUGGAAACAAGUUUUGUAUCUCCAGUUUCAGUGUUCCUCUUGUCAUAGAUCCUUCCUUUCAAACGUAUUUUCCCUUGUUUGAGCCUUUAAAAAAAGACAGAAAAACCUCCCAAACCUUGAAAAAUUGUAACACUCUAUGAAAAGUAUGCACUAUUGUCAUCUUCUGGGGAAAAGUGGAACUUUACUGUGUCUGCUGUUGUUUUUAGUGGAAUGUGGUGUACAGCAUGCUAAGUAAUUGCUCAGUAAAAUGUCAGUGUGAAUUCAGAAAUCCUCAGUAGAGGAAAGAAAUAAAUAUUUUUAUUUUCUCUAA